GACGACGCUGGCGGCGUGCUUAACACAUGCAAGUCGAACGGUGACGAGGAGCUUGCUCCUCCGAGUCAGUGGCGAACGGGUGAGUAACACGUGAGCAACCUGCCCCAGACUCUGGGAUAACAGUUGGAAACAGCUGCUAAUACCGGAUACGAGACGGAGAGGCAUCUCUACCGUCUGGAAAGUUUUUCGGUCUGGGAUGGACUCGCGGCCUAUCAGCUAGUUGGUGAGGUAAUGGCUCACCAAGGCGACGACGGGUAGCCGGCCUGAGAGGGCGACCGGCCACACUGGGACUGAGACACGGCCCAGACUCCUACGGGAGGCAGCAGUGGGGAAUAUUGCACAAUGGGCGAAAGCCUGAUGCAGCGACGCCGCGUGAGGGAUGACGGCCUUCGGGUUGUAAACCUCUUUCAGCAGGGAAGAAGCGCAAGUGACGGUACCUGCAGAAGAAGCACCGGCUAACUACGUG
rnacentral:rRNA from 1 species